UCAAAUGCAAUUUUUUUC
rnacentral:miRNA from 1 species